GAUGAACGCUGGCGGCGUGCUUAACACAUGCAAGUCGAGCGAGAAGUUUUGAAAAGAUUCUUCGGAUGAAAUUUAAAAUGGAAAGCGGCGGACGGGUGAGUAACGCGUAGGCAACCUGCCCCAUACAAAGGGAUAGCAUUUGGAAACGAAUAUUAAUACCUUAUGAAACUUAACUAGUGCAUGCUAGGUAGGUCAAAGAUUUAUCGGUAUGGGAUGGGCCUGCGUCUGAUUAGCUAGUUGGUGAGGUAACGGCUCACCAAGGCGACGAUCAGUAGCCGACCUGAGAGGGUGAACGGCCACAUUGGAACUGAGACACGGUCCAAACUCCUACGGGAGGCAGCAGUGGGGAAUAUUGCACAAUGAGGGAAACCCUGAUGCAGCAACGCCGCGUGAACGAUGAAGGCCUUUGGGUCGUAAAGUUCUGUUCUAGGUGAUGAAAACUGACAGUAACCUAGGAGAAAGCCCCGGCUAACUCCGUG
rnacentral:rRNA from 1 species